UACGUAGGCAGCAAGCGUUGUUCGGAGUUACUGGGCGUAAAGGGUGUGUAGGCGGUUUUCUAAGUUUGGUGUGAAAUCUCCCGGCUCAACCGGGAGGGUGCGCCGAAAACUGGGAGACUAGAGUGCGGGAUGGGAGAGUAGAAUUCCUGGUGUAGCGGUGAAAUGCGUAGAUAUCAGGAGGAAUACCGGUGGUGUAGACGGCUCUCUGGACCGCCACUGACGCUGAGACACGAAAGCGUGGGUAGCAAACAGG
rnacentral:rRNA from 1 species